AGAAAACUUGGUCCUAAUUUCCUUUACUUUUUUAUCUGUAAUGCUACAUGCAAAGAACUUCUCUCUUACCCUACGGAAUUUUAAUAAAAACUCAAAACUAAUAAAACUAAUGAAUAAAGAAACAAGAAAUUCUUAAAACAUAAAACCCGUAACAGCAGUACUAAACAUUAAGCAAUUAGUAAAAACUAGACUUAAUACCAGAAAAAAAAUAUUGGUAAAAAUACGUGCCAGCCACCGCGGUUAUACGUAAAAUAUUAAAAGUAAAACAACCCCUUAGUGACAAUAACAUAUAGUGCUAUAAACUAAAACUCAACAGUUAAAUGUAAAAAUAUAAAGAAAACAAACAUAAAAGUAAACACUAAAAAAAACUCACGUAAGUUUUAAAACAAACCAGGAUUAGAGACCCUGCUAUGUUAAACUAUAAACAUAAAAAAGAACUACGAGCCAAAGCUUAAAACUUAAAGGACUUGACGGUUUUUUAGACCUUCCUAGAGGAGCUUGCCUCAUAAUCGACAACCCACGAAAAACCUUACCUUUUCUAGAAACCAGCCUGUAUAUCAUCAUCGCCAGCCUACCUUAAUAAAAGAAGUAAGCUCAAAGGAAACCCCAAAACGUUAGAUCAAGAUGCAGCCAAUGAAAAGCGAAGAAAGUGAGCUACAAUACUCAAAACGAAUAGCGAAAAAUUUUUUUAAAAAGAAAAAAGAAGAAGGAUUUAGCAGUAAGAAAACUUAAUAAAAAUACUCUGAAAACGCUCUGAAACACGCACACACCGCCCGUCACUCUCUUUAAACUUAAAAAGAGAAAAGUCGUAACAAGGUAAGAGUAGGGGAACCUGCUCUUGGAAGUUC
rnacentral:ncRNA from 1 species